UACGAAGGGGGCUAGCGUUGCUCGGAAUCACUGGGCGUAAAGGGUGCGUAGGCGGGUCUUUAAGUCAGGGGUGAAAUCCUGGAGCUCAACUCCAGAACUGCCUUUGAUACUGAGGAUCUUGAGUCCGGGAGAGGUGAGUGGAACUGCGAGUGUAGAGGUGAAAUUCGUAGAUAUUCGCAAGAACACCAGUGGCGAAGGCGGCUCACUGGCCCGAUACUGACGCUGAGGCACGAAAGCGUGGGGAGCAAACAGG
rnacentral:rRNA from 1 species